AAAACAAUCGGAGUAAAAUGGGUUUUCAAAACCAAGUUGAAUGAAAACAGUGAGGUGGAUAAGUACAAGGCGCGACUUGUUGCAAAAGGAUACAAGCAAAAGUAUGGAAUUGAUUAUAAGGAGGUAUUUGCACCAGUGGCACGUCAAGACG